UUCAGACGUUGUUUUUUUACUAACUUUUUUGUGGAAACUGCACAUGAUAUGUUGGGUAAUAAGAACUGAGGAACAAGGUAAAUGGCUGAGCUAUUACUGAUCAAGAUGAAAGGAAGAGAACUGCUCCUCUCUGUUCAGGUCUUUCUUCAGAGCUGAUGAGUUACUCAUUUGCCCUAGGACAGGGCUACGUGACAAGGUAAACAUACUAUGGUUUUUGAGAGGUAUUAAUUCAUACUAUUUUGGGAUUAUAUAAAAAAUACAAUGUACAUCACAGUAUUUCUAUAUAGUAAUUGUCUCACAAAAUAUGUCUAUAUAGUAUAAGAAAAAUUACUACAAAAAUCUCAACAUGGGGGAUAUUCUAAUAUGAGCCUUGGGGCAAGUAUUUUGGGAUAGACUAAAAUAUAUACAGUAUAUAGAUGUUGUAUAAUAUUAAUUUACAUAUUCAUAGUAUGUAUAAUAAACACUGAGCUGUGAACAAGAUAAUACUCUAUAUGUCUUAUAUUCCAUUAAAAGUAAAGAAGAGCCUCAUUCAGUCCUCAAAGGAUAGGAGAGAUUUGCUACUAAUGCCCUUAUAAAUGCUGACAAUCAGGCUGACUUUAAGCUUUGACCUAAAGGGUAGUGUCUCUGCCCUAACAACUAAGGAAGCAAUUUCAGUUGGGACAACCAGAACCCCAAAGGAAAGCCACGCCUGUUCUUCAAGGGAAAAACAGAUGAGGACUAACAUGAUGGACUUUCUCUCAUAACCAUUGUCUUUUUUUCCCCUUCUGUAAUUAUUCAAACAUAGGCGGUCCCAAACCUGUAAGUUCACAGAGUUCACUUAUCAAGAGAACUGUUGGAACUCAGAACAUAAUGUUCCAUAAAAUCAAUGUUAUGCUGCUGGUUUCUAAGGUGCAUGAAUUUUGUUUUUUGUUUUGUUUUGUUUUGUUUUUCUGCCUAAACCCCUCCCUUUGUCUACUGUUGACAGUACCCCUUUCUCUCACUCUGUGGGUCUCUGAGAGUGCCUCCAAACCCCUUGAUCUCCAGUUGUUUGGUCAAAGUUUAGUAAUUAGUCAAAGGAGUGGACACAAUUCAAGUUGGGGCAACCACAGUAGCUCCCUGCUCAGCCAUAGUGAUUUAUCCAGUGGUGGCCAGGUAGCUUAACCUAAGCUGGGCCUGGCUAACCAGAUUCCUUUCCAAUAAUAUAUUCAACUGGAGCUAUGGGGACAACCCCCAAUUUCUCUAGUGUGAGGUUGUGAGGUUGUGAACCCCUUGCUUUUAGAGUCACAUCUCCCAAUGUGUGAAGACACCAUCUUAUAAUAAGAAAGAAUAAAACUAUCAGGCCAAGAGAAACAGAGAUGAGAGAAGCAGCGAGGGAGGGUGAUGACAACAUUGGAACUCUGUUUUUUGUUUUGUUUUGUUUUCUUUUUUUCCUGCCUGAGGACCAGAACUUCUUUGAUUCCAAAGUUGACUGUUUAACUCUUUGAGGAUGGAAGCUCCCUGUCAUCUUAAAACAAGACCAAACAAAACCUCUCUCCCUUUUCCAUGUUUGUUUCCCCUAAGUCUAUUUUUAAUUGUAUUUCUGCCUCUUAUAAACAAGCGUCCUACUUAAAAUGGUUGGAUUCUCAAGGAAGGAUUUAGAAGCCAAUUUUGACCACGAUGUAAGAAAGCAAACCCCUAGUAUGAGACUGGGGACCCUUUCCCUCCUUGUUCCUCUUAUCUGCUUACAACAAGUGUUCAAUGAGAUCAGAUAACUUAAACAGAGAAGGUUCAGGCCUAGGAUUUUGAACUCAAUAUCUCCUUCUCUUGCUGUAAACAUGACGAUAACUGUUUGGUGUAAAGGGAGUGUACAGAUUCACAGAAUUCAUCUAAUUUUCUGGGGACCUCGACCCAAGUAAAGAGCGUAGGAAGACCUUCAAGUGACAUGGUGUGACUCGCUAAUAAAUUCAAUAUUGUGCUGGCUGACUAUUCAUAGCAUAGCUUUUAUGAAAGGGUGUGUGUAACAGUGGAAACAGCUGAGAGGGUCAUGGCUUUAAUUAUCUGAGGAGGGCAUUCAGGUCACACUCAUCCACUCAUUUGUACUUUUAUUUUUCUUUAAAUAGCUGAGUCAUCUCAGUCAUGGAAAAAAUUUAAAAAUACUGCUGAAAAUAGCAAUUACA